GGGGGUGCCUUGGCUUCGACCGGAAGAGUUGAAGGCGGGGUUGCGGCAGGUGGCAGCCCACGACGUCCACCUAAAUACCGCGUGGGAUUGGUUCAAGCGCCAACACACAGCUUGCUGCAGCUUAAUUAGCUAGCUGCACCUCGAUCGGCGCGUCGCCCGGGGCGCGUCGGCGGGGCAAAGUUCCCGGGCUUUCCGCCGGAGCCAGCCGACCCGGUGGGAGAUAAAGGCCUGCACUGCCGGGGUGCGGCGGUUCGCGCACCGUCCCGGCGGUAAAGAGCGCCUGACGCAAGAAAGCGCGGACUAUUGCCGUAGAUACCGUACCGGAAGCUUCCUGGGACGGGGGUUCGAUUCCCCCCACCUCCACCA
rnacentral:tmRNA from 1 species